GCCGGAGUGGCGGAAUGGCAGACGCGGCGGACUCAAAAUCCGUUGCCCGCAAGGGCGUGUGGGUUCAAGUCCCACCUCCGGCA
rnacentral:tRNA from 1 species